rnacentral:guide_RNA from 1 species
AAUGAUGUAUUCGGUGAACAGUGAUAUCGUAAAUUU